GUUUGAUUUUGCAUAACCUUAAAUUUUUAAUUUUCUGAAAUUAUUUGUUUUUUCCGAAGUUUUGUCUAAAUUAAUUAAUAACAAUGAAUGAUGAUGAAAAAGAAAACAUCAGCGAUGAAGAGUUACUCGAAUCCACGCCACCUGAUCUCACCUAAGAAAGUAAUGUGGCCGUUCUUAAUUCGAUGCCGGAUAAAUCUCUUGCAAGGUUUUGGAAGAUUCCUAACAUUCUAUUUCAAUAGAAGGGAGAUUUUAGAAAACAUUGUUUAGUCAAACUUCAGUUAAAAAUGUAAUUUAUACUCAUUUAUUUUUGUAAACCGUUUAUAGUAUUUAUAAUGAUAUUCAUAGAUUCUUCGAGUUGAUCUUUAUUUAUGAUAAGCGGCG